rnacentral:rRNA from 1 species
CCUACGGGAGGCUGCAGUGAGGAAUAUUGGUCAAUGGACGAGAGUCUGAACCAGCCAAGUAGCGUGAAGGAUGACUGCCCUAUGGGUUGUAAACUUCUUUUAUAUGGGAAUAAAACGUUCCACGUGUGGGAUUUUGUAUGUACCAUAUGCAUAAGGAUAGGCUAACUCCGUGCCAGCAGCCGCGGUAAUACGGAGGAUCCGAGCGUUAUCCGGAUUUAUUGGGUUUAAAGGGAGCGUAGGUGGAUUGUUAAGUCAGUUGUGAAAGUUUGCGGCUCAACCGUAAAAUUGCAGUUGAAACUGGCAGUCUUGAGUACAGUAGAGGUGGGCGGAAUUCGUGGUGUAGCGGUGAAAUGCUUAGAUAUCACGAAGAACUCCGAUUGCGAAGGCAGUUCACUGGACUGCAACUGACACUGAGGCUCGAAAGUGUGGGUAUCAAACAGGAUUAGAUACCCUGGUAGUC